UUUUUGAAACUGCUUAUUUUCCAGACACCAAAAAACAUUAACUUACUGCCAAAAACCAGCUGUGUGGUUUGUUUUAAGCAUGUGGGCUGAUUUCAGAAGCAGUAAAAACCCAAAUGGAAGAAUAAAAACAUG